UGCUCGUAUGACCAGUUUUGGUGAUCCCAUCUGUCCUUGUGACCCACGGGCUUAGCAAAGCAUCUGGCAAUUGGCAGGUGUUCAGUAAAUGUUUGUGGAAUGAAUAAAGGCAUAUCCAAACUCUAGGGAGCCAAGAAGCCAUGAAAGAGGUAAAGAGGGUCCACUGGACCUCCAGAAUCCAAAAGGUUUCAAGCCAAGAAGAUACAAAGAUAGAUCAUAGUAACAGCUUUGCAGGAAAUCUAUGAAUAGGGGGUACAGAAAUCACAUUAGCCAUCACUUUGAAUAACAAGCUUGGACACCAGACCUCAAAAGAAAAUAAGAAUUCAGGGACACACAUGCACACAGACACUCACACAGCAUUUUUCAACACAAAGGUAUAAAGAUGAGAAAACUCAGCUUUGGCCAAGUAAAUGGUUUCAUCAAGGAUUCCCAGCUGCUGACUGCAGUACCGAGAACCUGCAACCACCAUAUGAACAAGCUCAAGCUAGCCUACAGAAGAGAAACCAAGUGCCCACAUGCUUCCACCACCCCAACCACCAGCGGUCAGUUAUUCCCCAGAAACGGAAUCAUCCUGACUACAUGUGAGUGAGCCCAGCCCAAAUCACCAGCCCACAGGAUCAUCAGUGCUUCCUCUUUCAACUUGUUCUUGGCAUUUGGAGAAGAUAGAAAGAACCCCAGGGAGCCUUGCUGAGCCCCAGACCAGGUAGGAGGGAGAAAGAGAAGGAAGAUUGAUCCCAGUUUUCAACAUGGAUUGAAAAUGGAGUUUUGCCAAUUUUCUACAUUUUACCCUGUAGUUCUCUGCCAGCCAAGGUAGGAGGGGAACAAGCAGCCUGUGUUCCUGGAGCAUUUUUCUGAGAACAGGAAAAUGUCAGUGAUUUGGAUAAUUGAAUGUCUGGAUUAAAAUUUACCUACGCCACAUCUUUGAAUAAAAAGACUUUUGAUUAACCAAUAUCAGCAAAGCAAACAGGAUGAUAAAGUAGAAUUUCUGUCUGAUUUAAUGAAAAAUCUAUAUUGAUUGUAU